CCUACGGGAGGCUGCAGUAGGGCAUAUUGCUCAAUGGGGGAAACCCUGAAGCAGCAACGCCGCGUGGAGGAUGAAGGUUUUCGGAUUGUAAACUCCUUUUGUUAGAGAAGAUAAUGACGGUAUCUAACGACUAAGCACCGGCUAACUCCGUGCCAGCAGCCGCGGUAAUACGGAGGGUGCAAGCGUUACUCGGAAUCACUGGGCGUAAAGAGCGCGUAGGCGGGAUAGCAAGUCAGAUGUGAAAUCCUAUGGCUUAACCAUGGAACUGCAUUUGAAACUGUUAUUCUAGAGUAGGGAAGAGGGAGUUGGAAUUCUUGGUGGAGGGGAAAAAUCCGUAGAGA
rnacentral:rRNA from 1 species